AAAAUUUUUCGAAAGAAAAAAAAAAAUCUGUUCUUAUCAGUUUAAUAUCUGAUAUGCCCCCGAUUCGGGGGCAACGUAUUAAACGUAUUUUUAGAACAGGGAGCCGAAUAAGGGGCUCCGUUCGCUCCGUUCGCUCCACGCAUCGCCUCCGGGAACGGUGCCCCCUUU
ensembl:snRNA U2 U2 spliceosomal RNA